UACAGAGGUCUCAAGCGUUGUUCGGAUUUACUGGGCGUAAAGGGUGCGUAGGCGGUCAGCUAAGUCGAAUGUGAAAGCCCGUGGCUCAACCAUGGAACUGCAUUCGAUACUGGUUGACUUGAGGGCUGGAGAGGAGACUGGAAUUCACGGUGUAGCAGUGAAAUGCGUAGAGAUCGUGAGGAAGGCCAGUGGCGAAAGCGGGUCUCUGGACAGCUCCUGACGCUGAGGCACGAAGGCCAGGGGAGCGAACGGG
rnacentral:rRNA from 1 species